AAGUGGAACACUCACUUCCGGCUUUCAAUCCUUUGGGAGCCGUUUUUUUCUGGAGCCAAGGCGUUCAAGAUCCAAGGUAUGGCUGUAUAGUACUGCUUUAUCUCCUUGACAUCUGAUAAUAAUAAUAAUAAUUUAUUAUUUAUACCCCAUCCAUCUGGCUGGGUUUCCCCAGCCACUCUGGGCCGUUUACAGUAUAUAUAAAAACAUAGUAGAACGUCAAACUUUAAAAACUUCCCGAUACAGGGCCACCUUCAAAUGUCUUCUAAACGUUGUGUAGUUCUUUAUCUCCUUGAUAUCUGAUAACAAUAAUAAUUGAUAGGUGUGUGAGGGGCUUCAGCCCCCUCAAACUUUGUGGGUAGGCAGCUGAGACACACACCCAAGAAUAUUGAGGUGGCCGCUAUCCCCCACAACCCCCCAUAGCUGUGGAAUGCUUGCGCUCCAGGCCGGGAUGGGAUGCACAGAGGGGUGCAUGACAUUGUAUGUAUGAUGCCACACAAUGUUGGGGGGGCCCAAUGUGGGGAGCAAGUCAACACCCCUGGAUCUGGUGUAAAUUUACAGCUGCUUAAAUUACACCGGCUGGCUUUACACCAGCUCCUUCUGCAGAGGAAGGAAAAUAAAAUAUCAUCUUGGCUACAGGAUAGCACCAGGGUUGUUGGUUUGUUUCAAUUGACUGGUUCUAAUUAUCUCUCUUGUUGUUGGUAUUUGUACAAUGUACCUGAACUUGUUUCUAAUUUGUAACUGCUCUGGCGGGUAAGAAAUAUUUUUAAUAAACAGAUAAAUGAUUCCGACUUCUCCUUUACAUGCAAAACCCCAGGUUCAGUCUGUAGUUAAAAUGUUCUCACACUAGCCAGACUUGGACAGACCUGGACCUGGGACCCCAGAGAGCUGCCAAGAUUGGUUUGGAUGGACCAGUGAUACGAUAAGGUGACUUCGUGGGUUCUCGAAAAUCUCAGCUUUAUUUUUUAGAACAAGUUGUUUGACCCUUUAAUGUCAAAGAUAGCCUUGAAAAGAAGUGUUUGGGGAAAACCCUGUUGAAGCAUCAUAUGCCAGAGUGGGACGGAAGGGUCAUAUUUCCAGUGGAUUUCAGGCAAAAGCAGAGUUAAUUAUGCAAAAUAGCUUUAAAAAUGUGGAAGAAUGAUUUGCUGAAUUCAGAAUUAUGCAACUUUGCUCUAUUUUUCAUAAUUAAUAGAUAGGUCACUUUAUUUUAGUGCAGAAGUCCGAUUACCUGGGUGCAUAAUUUGAAUGUGAUUAGCAAUGUCAUAACACCACCCCAUCACUGCUGAAUUAAACUACUAUAGAAAGGCAGGGCAAAAUUAGGGUUUUUGCCACAAUCCUCCCAGAAGUGUGAAGCGAUCUAAUACUUCCCUCUGCUUAGUUAAAAUUCUGCUCAGUCACUGUCCUUUCAACCCCUCGGCUCAACUGUUUGAGCAUGCUUGGCAGGUACUAUGACAAAGAAAACCCUGACAAAAUUUCAAUAAAAAAUGACUGAAUUAUAAAGAAGAUAAAGGAAUAAAGUUGUACCUUGUGAUAUAUAUAUUUGAAUGGAGACGGAACAGGUUUCCCAUUUGUAUCACUCAAAUUGCUUUGAGAUAUAUCCAGAGGAGAAGAUCAUCUAUCUGUGGGUUUUUUAUUUUAUUUAGAAAAAUAGAGAAAGCAGACUAUAUUUGAAACCUUUGCUUCAAGAUUUGUCAAACAUAGCAUCGUAAUCUGUAAUAUUUAGAAAGAAACGAUGAAGGGCAUUUUGUGAAAGACCAGAAUAGUGUAAUGGGAGCUUCUCUCCCACAGCAAGUAACGUCCAUAAUGGGCCCCAGACCAGUUCAGAAUUGCAACAGGGGCAAAGGGUUAAAGUCCCCUCUUCCAUAUCCUGGUCCCAAUACAAAAAGGGUACAUCCGCAGCUAUUAUUUACGAACAACAACAACUAUGACAUUACCAUUACUAUUAUUGGAUCGAAGGCAACGCACAAAUAUUAAAAUCCAAGUAAACUUCACAAUCAUUGACAACCAAACUAAAACCAGAGUCCUAAAACUCAAAACAUAACAAUCUGAAUUAUAAAAUACAGCACAUAUCUGAAUUUAUAAUCUUGCCCUAAAUGCCCAUGUGGAAAAAACAAACAUCUUCAAUUAAUGUAUUAGUGAGGAAGACAACCAAAUCUCCAAUGGGAGAGAGUUCCACAGCUGGGGAACCACCACAGAAAAACCCCAUGUCACCACAUGGCAGACAAUAUGCAAUGGUGGAAAUGUGUGCUUUUUAAAUCAUCACACAAUUAAUAAUUUUGGGAAUAAUGUCACAUUCAGGUUCGCCUGAAGAGAAUGAGAUGGGAAGUUCUCAUUGAUUCACUUAUUUUUAAAUACAUCAUAAAUAUAAUUGGACUAGUAAGGUCAGGUUCCACCCAAAAACAAACAAACCGAUAGCAAUAUCCCAAAGUUACAUGCAUCUGACUGCAUAUGGACUAGAAGAUUUGCCAAGCAGUGCUCUCUCUCUCUAGUUAGAACAAGAUGAUACUGAAGUGAACGACUGCAUGGCAGACAGUAGCCCCGUAAAUUGUGUUUAUGUGUCACUCUUUCUUCAUUAAUCUGCAAUGUGUGUGUGUUUGUGUGUGUGGUGCACAUAUACACAUACAAAUGAGAUAGUUAUAUUGGAUAACAAGUAUUAGCAUAAUAAGAAAAAGCAGAUCUCAAGACAGGAACUGGUCUUUUGAACCAGUGUGUGUGUGAGAGUUUAAUCAAUCCCAUCUGACUUGAAUCCUGAACAUCUGUAAUGAAGAAUACUUUUAUGUCUGGCUACUAUUGAUCAAAAAUAAAUAAAUCAAGAAUAAGAUUUAUGUUUUGAGAACAGAGUGGGACGAGGGAAUGGUUGACACAGAAAAAAAGUGACCCUCUUAUUUCCAUUAGCAGAAAUAUAUUUACACUGGGAGUGCUUCUUUUCUCAGCGCUCAUUAAAGAUAUCAGAAACCAGCCAGAGUCACACAGUAUUUCUGCCCAGGUUUUGCAGAUGUCAGAGUCGCUUCUGUGUAUGCAUAUUUGGAUCUUGUAAUGCACAAAAUGGCAGUGGUGGGAUGGGAGCCUCUGGGGGAAAGUAACUAAGCCAUGUCAUAAAGUAGAAAGGCGGGCAGGUGGGUCACUGCUUGCCAUUGCCUGAGCUGCUCUGAACCUGGAGACAAAUAGGGCAGAGCAAAGUACCCAAAGAAGCAGUAUGAGACCCCGGCAAGGAGGAGGCAGGACUCUGAGAAAGCAGAAGGCCAAGACAUGUUUGAGUUCCUGAGAAAGAUUUGUAAGGAGUGGUGCCCUGGAGAAAGGGGGAGAAAGGGGAUGUCGUGAUGUGCUUCUGAAAGCCCUGAAGAUGAAAUCAAGGUCAAAAUGCACCAAGCAGGAGAAGCUGGAAUAGUGUCAUGGCCAAGAAAGUCCAUUCAUUCAACCUUCAUCUCACUAGGUGGCCUUUAACAAGCUGCUAUUGCCUCAAACUCAUUUCCCUAUCUGCAGUGUGGGAGAAGGUAAUAAUAGUGCUCUACCUCUCAAGGAGGGAUGUGGGGGUCUAAACCACAGAGCCAAGGAUUUGCUGAUCAGAAGGUUGGCGGUUCGAAUCCGCGUGGCGGGGUGAGCUCCCGUUGCUCGGUCCCAGCUCCUGCCAACCUAGCAGUUCAAAAGUAUGUCAAAGUGCAAGUAGAUAAAUAGGUACCACUCCGGCGGGAAGGUAAACGGCAUUUCCGUGUGCUGCUCUGGUUUUGCCAGAAGCGACUUAGUCAUGCUGGCCACAUGACCCAGAAGCUGUCUGUGGACAAAAGCCGGUUCCCUCGGCCUAUAGAGCGAGAUGAGCACGCAACCCCAGAGUCAUCCACAACUGGACCUAAUGGGCAGGGGUACCUUUACCUUUACCUCUCAAGGAUCCACUGAAACGGUUACUCAUAUAACAUCAGGAUGUGCUUUGAAUACGCCACAGAUGUACAGUGGUACCUCGGGUUAAGAACUUAAUUCGUUCUGGAGGUCCAUUCUUAGCCUGAAACUGCUCUUAACCUGAGGUACCACUUUAGCUAAUGGGGCCUCCCGCUGCUGCCGCCACACAAUUACUGUUGUCAUCCUGAAGCAAAGUUCUUAACCCGAGGUACUAUUUCUGGGUUAGCGGAGUCUGUAACCUGAAGCGUCUGUAACCCGAGGUACCACUGUAUUCAGAUUGGACCCUAGGCAAUAUAGCCACUGGUUGGAAAUGAUGGAAGGUGAGGUCCAGCAACAGGGCACCACAUUGGAAUACCUAGAGAUGGCCAUUUGGUUUAAAGGUGGAAUACCAGUUUACAUUUUUAAAAGGAGAGAUGAUGCUCUCUCACAGUUGGUUUUUAAAAGAGGUCUAUGAAGCUCAUGUGCUGAGCAACUUGAAGGCCCACAUACAGUUGCAAGUAUGGGCACAGGGGUGGAUUUUGGUCUUUCAAAUUUCAGCGGCGCCCUGUGGGAGGCCCAGUGCGGUGGGGCUGGUCAUGCUGCCCUAAAUCUGCCUCUGUAUCGAGGUAUGCAUGAAACCCUCUGAGAAUUUUUGCUAUCCUCAAAAUCCUUUUGGCUUCCACUGAAACUGCUCAGACACACACACAGGGAAAUAUUUCUCAGGGAGAAGUUUACACAUGACCCUUCUCUUGCACAUGUGAGAUUUCUACAUGCAUGGAGUGUGUGAGUAUUUACUGGAGACACGUUGAAAUGUUUCUUUGCUUCAUUCCCCUGUCUCUACCCCACCUGCAUCCUGAUGCAGUGUUCUCCAAGAAGCGCUUCAUCCCUUGAUGGUUCUGUUUAAAUUUGUGCUCUGAUAUUAUGCCUAUGGAGGAAUCUCCAAAUUCGCUUCAGCCAACAUUUUAGUGAUGUAGACUUGCACACCUGAAAAGGCAUGAGGGAAUCAGUCCCAAGUCAUGGUGAUACAAGUUUUUCAAUGCAGCUGAACAUGCUGGAUAUACUUCUGGCACAACGGAAACAUAAGACAGCACUUGGUGAGGUAAAAUUUACAAUAGUCAGGGGUAAAGUAUGCUUAAAGUAAAGGUAAAGGGACCCCUGACCAUUAGGUCCAGUCGUGACCGACUCCGGGGUUGCGGCGCUCAUCUCGCUUUAUUGGCUGAGGGAGCCAGCGUACAGCUUCCGGGUCAUGUGGCCAGCAUGACUAAGCCGCUUCUGGCUAACCAGAGCAGCGCAUGGAAACGCCGUUUACCUUCCUGCUGGGGCGGUACCUCUUUAUCUACUUGCACUUUGAUGUGCUUUCGAAUUGUUAGGUUGGCAGGAGCAGGGACCGAGCAACGGGAGCUCACCCCAUCGCGGGGAUUCAAACUGCUGACCUUCUGAUCAGCAAGCCCUAGGCUCUGUGGUUUAACUCACAGCGCUUAUGUAUGCUUAAUUUCAAGGGUACCCAAUGCAGUGCACUCCAGAAGUUGUAUCCAUCUAAGUCCUACUUAUACCCACUGAAAUUAAUGGACAUGACUAAGUUAGAAUGAUAAAUUUCAGUGGGUCUGCUCUGAGUAGCACUUCAUUGAAUAAACCUCAUAUAUUUUGGACUACAACCCCAACCAUUGGCAAUGCAGGCUGGGGCAGAUGGAAGUUGUAGUCCAAGAUAUCUGGGAGGUACCAUGUUGGCUUUAAUUUAUGUGUCAUUAUAUCACCAGAAGUCUUCAAAGUGUAGAUAUAUUACAAAAUAAUAAAGCAUAGCAUCGUGCCAAAUACGGUAAACAUUAAUUAAUUGAUAGGUUGAGUUUUUGGAAGACUCCUGUGCGUGAAUUUGUUUUAUGUGUGUAGAUCAGUGCACACUGACCAAUGCACAGUCUUCGCAGUAGGGCUCUGUUCUGAUGGCACGAAGUAGUCACAACAAACCAGUAGAUUCCUAUCUGCUGCAGCCUUCAUCCGCCUUCACAGCUGUCGUAACAUACCGUUUGUUAUCAUCCGCCUGUUCUGCCGUUGAGGACUUCUUGGAUCAUUCUUUGUCUGACUCCUUCCCUUUGACCUUACCACCUUCGGUGACCCUGCUGGGAGUAUGAGAUUCCCAAUGGCUUCACUCACAAGGGGCAUAGGAACGUGCCAAGGGUCAUAGGAACGCACCAUGACAAGCGCACUAAUAUCAGUGUACUGGAAGAAGCAAAGAUCACCAGUGUCAAAGCAAUGAUUCUUCAACAUCAACUUCAUUGGACUGGUCAUGUUGUGCGGAUGCCUGAUGAUCGUCUUCCAAAGCAACGACUCUAUUCCAAACUUAAAAAGGGAAAGUGUAAUGCUGGUGGUCAACAAAAGAGGUUUAAAGACUGUCUCAAGGCAAAUCUUAAAAAACUGUACUAUAAACACCAACAAUUGGGAAACACUGGCCUGUGAGUGCUCCAGUUGGAGAACAGCCUUUACCAAUGGUGUCAUGGGCUUUGAAGACACUCAAACUCAGGACGCAAGGGAGAAACGUGCUAGGAGGAAGGCACCCUUGGCAAAUCCACACCGUGAUCAACUCCCAUCCGGAAACCAAUGUCCCCGCUGUGGAAGGACGUGUGGAUCCAGAAUUGGCUUCCACAGUCACUUACAGACUCAUUGUUUAAACCAUGUUUAUGGAAGACAGUCUUACUAGGCUACAGGUGAUCUCCAAAGAAUUAAUUGAUAAUUACAAAUUAUCAAAACCAAAAAACAAAAAGAAUCAGAUAAUAAUAAUAAUAAUAAUAAUAAUAAUAAUAAUAAUAAUAAUAGAAUGUUGCAUAUUAGCAGCUGAGUGAGCGUAUAUCUGUUCAGUUCUGGUAAUCUACUACAUCUCAAAAGCCUGUAUGCAAAGAAAAGAGUGUUCUUAUCUCUACAUCUUCCAUUGAAUUAUUAGAUUUGUAUUUGCACCCUAAGUUUUAAUAAAAAUGUACAGUAAUGUUGCUUUCUGGUAACAACUGUAUUCAUAUCACAAGAAUUAAAUGGGUUACAUUUAAAAUAUACAUGCCUAGAAUUUGUCUCUGUAACAUUACAAUAAACACUCUUUACCUUGUGCAACACUUUGCCUGUAAAAUACUCAGGCUGACACUGCAAAUUAGAUUUCUUUCAUUACUUGUUUCUUCUUCCUUCUGAGAAAGGAAUAGGGGAGAGAAGAAAAAUGUCUUGCCGUAUUAAAUAAAAAAAUAGCUACUACCUGCUACCACAUUUUACAAAUGAAGCCAAGGUAAGGAGAAUCAGUCUUCUAACUUUGACAGAGGGUGUUUUAUUAACAGCUGGUAUGCAAAUAUUAUAUAUAUAUAUAUAUAUAUAUAUAUAUAUAUAUAUAUAUAUAUUCGUCCAUUUUUUUAUUUUUACGAGAAAUGCAAGAAGUGAAGAAUGAGCAAAGCAAUCAUUUCCUUUGUCUGUCAACCCAGAGAGCACAAGCUUUAUUGGCAAUUAGAGAAAUCCGUCCAAAGGAAAACAUCUCUACCCUCCCAGCUUAUCUUCACAGAGUAACAAAGCCAGAGAAAAGCAAUUCAAUUAAAAGAAUGUGCAUUAAAAAUACAAUAACUGAUUUGCAUCAUAUAAAUGAUGCGGGAUUGAUGUCUUGUGCCUUUAAAUAACACAGCUCGAUUAUCCAGCCCUCCUUGAGGCUUUCGCCCAUUGCCCAAGCAAGCUUUUUCAGAUGCAAAUAUUGGUCACUUAUUGGGGUUUUAUUAGCGGCAAUGAAAAGGGAUGACAACAUGCAACGACAUCCGAUCAAUGUGCACUUUGUGCUACAAGAUCUGUAUUCAAACCGUCCAAUGGUUCAUUUUAGGAAUGGUAUCAAAGACUAAUAUGAGAUACAUGAGCUCAUUCCAGGGCGGGCAUUCGAUAUAGUUUUGAAGGGUCUGCAACUAUUUUGUCUCACUUCUAAGCAAAUCAAGGUGUCUGCCUCCAAGUUUGAACCCUGUGGCGUGAUUGCAAUAGGACCAAAACACUUCAUUAUAAGCGACAGAAACAUGGAUGGAUUUGGGAUAUUAGGGGAAAGAGGUGGAGCGGGGGGAGAGCCUCAGCUACAUCUAAGACAAUAAUAUCCCAAGGUGAUAUCUCUGAGAUUUCAGGAACCAGCAGACCUUACAGCAACUGCAUUUCAUCCCAUCACAUGUCAAGGAAAUAAGCAACUAUCUUACUGAAGGCAGUCCUGUUUAGGGAAGUUUUAAUGUCUGAAGUUUUAUCGCUUAUUAUUAUUAUUAUUAUUAUUAUUAUUAUUAUUAUUACUAAUUCUGUUCAGAGAGCCCCCCAGAGUGGCUGGAGAAACCAAGCCAGAUGGGCAGGGUAUAAAUAAAUUAUUAUUAUUAUUAUUAUUAUUAUUAUUAUUAUUAUUAUUAUUUUGUUCAAGGUUCUAGCCUGGGAGGCUGUGUGGUCUUUCAUACUCCAGGGCAUUUCAGAGAUUCCAGAGAUUUCAGUGCAGAACAACUAGGAGGAAACUAUGUCUUACUAAUGCAAUUGAAUUUUCCUACUAGCUAAUCAUUCUACCCUGGAAGGGUAGAGGGAUGUAGACUUGUGUACCCCUGUCAAUGUAUGUUUAACCCGCUGCCUCAGUGGUUCCCAGAGAUGGGUUGGCUGGCUCUCUUACUUAAACUUAUAUUGAUUUUUUAAAACUGAAUCAUUUCCCAAAACACAUCUGAUGCAGUUUGGCAGCUGUGGUUGUUACCACCCUUCUCUCUCUCAUUAAACACUGCCUAACAGGCACCAACGUCACAGAUAAAGCUUGCCCUCUUUGCAUCUCCAUGCUAGGAAAAGCUUCUUCUGUUGAAGUUUCAAAAUGUUUUACAGGAGGUAUCAAGAAGAUUUCUCCUGACUGUUCAUGUGGAGGGGGGUAGACUUGACUUUUUAGUAAUACCAGAAGCUACAUCUAAAUAUAUUGGGUAUGGUGUGUGUGUGUGUGAAUGUUUAGAAACAACAUAUGGAGGUUUUUCAGUAUGUGAGGCAGAACUCACUGCUUGUGGAUCUACACUGCGUUUUCACUCUCCCUUCAAAUGUUUCCUUUCCCAGUGUCCCUCCUGUCACCUGGUCAACGCUACAGAAAGUUUCGUUCUGAAGAAUUUGCUGACUAUGGUGCUACCAUAUUCUGAAGAUUUGGGUCAGACAAACCAUUCUAUCCCAGGGUCAUCUUCUGAAUUGAAAUGUAACCUUACCACUCAGGAAUACUAAAUUGCAAAUGCGGAUGAUAAUCAGCUGAGUUUGAGAGGAGACGAAUACAAAUGAAUGUGCAUUUUUUAAAGUAUUGGAAUUGAUUGGGGAUUACGAUUCUUAGUGGAUCAAAGAGAGUUUGAAUUCUUUGAACUUGCUUGCCUGGUGGAAGGUGAUCAUGUGGACUGCCCCAAAUACGCUGCGAAGAUACAGAAACCGUUCUUCGGUGCAAUCCUAGGUUGCAAUCCUGCACCUAGUUCUAUGUACCCAUUUAUGUUCAUGGCCCAAAUAUGGAUACCAGGGUAGAGAGGAUGGAGGAAGGCAACUGGGGUGGGAAGGAAAAGAAAUCUGGAACCUAUGGAGGGAAGAAGCAUAUAAUGUGACAACUAAAUGUCUCUAUCAGUUAACAGCAGGAAACACACCUUUAAUUUAUGAGACAUCCUUUUCAUUCCUCGUCUUGCGAAAAGGCUCAAAGGAGCAGUAGUUUUUGCAAUGCGUAUGCUAAGAAUGGUGUCUGCUUUGUUGCGAAACACUUCUUGUUCCUGAAGUCUCUUUAUUUGCUUGCACUGACUUUCCCUUUGCAUGAAGCGAGAUCCCAUAAUCCUGGAGAUCAAAGCGCUGUGAGUUUAUUGACUGAUUUCCUGGUGUCAUAGGUUAGAAUGUACUGUCAAACAAGGGGGAUAUUAAGAAAUUGAAAGGGUUACAAAUAUGAGAACAGGGGGAUAAAGGGCACACACUCAAGGAGACAUUUAACUCUGCUGUAAGUCAAAGUGAGUUUGAUAUAUAACUACUGUAGGCUGCUAAGAACUUGAACAAGAAAAGAAAAUCAUAUGUCAUCAUGGAAGUGUCUGCUGUCAAGGACGGUUCGUUAAUGUGUUGUGCAAUUAGAUUUUAUAAACAGUAAGGGGUCCCCGUCCCCCCGUAAAUGGGUUUAAUGAAAUAACUGGAACUAUUUAAACUGUAAGUUUGAAUAUAUACUUAUACACCACAUUCCGAGGGCUUGAGUAGGCAAGCUACGCUAAAACCAAAAUGCAUUAAAUAAAACUAAUGUAUAAAAUAUUGGUGUUAACCCAUUAAAACCCCAGAAUGCAAUUAGAAUUGCAAUUGUUGUUAGCCGCCCUGAGCCCAGCUUCGGUUGGGGAGGGCGGGAUAUAAAUAAAAUUUAUUAUUAUUAUUAUUAUUAGAAGUUAAAAUAACCUUAUGCUUGCUUAAGCACAGAAACAAACAAACAAAAACCUACUUUGCCAUAUCAGAUCAAGAUCCAUUUAGUUCCACAUUCUGGCUCCAAUCCAGAGAAAAUUAAUUGUGAUUAAUAACACAGUCUUAUGUGUGUUUAGGAGGUGUGUUUAGGAUUGCAGCUAAGUCCCACUGAAUUCAACCGGAGAUGCUAGAAAGGACUACCUUCAAGCGGCAGUUCUAUACUCACUUACCUGGGAGUAAGCCCCACUGAACAUACUGUAAUUAGACUUACUUCUGAGUAGACAUGUAUAGGGUUACACUGGCAGUCUCAGACUGUGUACACACUAUAUCUCUCAAGCACAUUCAAAGCACAGUUUGCUUCUCAAAGAAUUCAGUAAACUAUGGUGGUUUAAAUGUGUAGCAUGUACACAGCCUCAUUAGUUUCAAUGGGACUGAACUUACUGCUACUCCAAAUUUUGCAGCGCCAUUCUAGAGCUAUGCUUAUGAUCGCAAAAAAUAAUCAAGCCCCAAGCUUGAAACUAUGAGGACAAUUUCUGAUAAAAUCUCAGAGCUCCGAAGAGUAUCUGAACUCAAUGGUCAGUGCCUGGGUUUUAAUGAACCACAUAGCUCUGCUUCCCUCCCUAGGAUAAAUUAUAUAAAUAGGAGAAAUCAUGUAUAGGUUUCAGAAUCCACCUAUUCUUACCAUCAAAUUUAGGUUACUUUGGCUCAAAACCUUAAUCAUUGUUUAGCUCAUAUUACAAAGAGACCUUGCGCAUAUGUAUGUUCUAUAGUGACUUCAUAAAUAUUUACAAUUAAAAAUAUUCAGCGUGCACUUCAGAGUUCAGUGCAACACUUUGAGGUGAAGAAGAGGUUAAUAAUUGGAAAUUGGAAAUCUAGAAAUGCCAGAAGAACUUUAAUGCUUCUCACGUUGAUCGGUCUAGGCUUUUGGUGCAGAUUGAACUGGAUCCUGACUGAUAUGUAAAUACAUCCUUUCAAGGCUUUCUAUAGCCAUUAAUGAAAAAUUACAACAUGGGUACGGUAUCAUAAAUAUGUAUGCAAAUGAG